rnacentral:rRNA from 1 species
GAUGAACGCUAGCUACAGGCUUAACACAUGCAAGUCGAGGGGCAUCAGGAAGAAAGCUUGCUUUCUUUGCUGGCGACCGGCGCACGGGUGAGUAACACGUAUCCAACCUGCCCUUUACUCGGGGAUAGCCUUUCGAAAGAAAGAUUAAUACCCGAUAGCAUAAUGAUUCCGCAUGGUUUCAUUAUUAAAGGAUUCCGGUAAAGGAUGGGGAUGCGUUCCAUUAGGUUGUUGGUGAGGUAACGGCCCACCAAGCCUUCGAUGGAUAGGGGUUCUGAGAGGAAGGUCCCCCACAUUGGAACUGAGACACGGUCCAAACUCCUACGGGAGGCAGCAGUGAGGAAUAUUGGUCAAUGGGCGCUAGCCUGAACCAGCCAAGUAGCGUGAAGGAUGAAGGCUCUAUGGGUCGUAAACUUCUUUUAUAUAAGAAUAAAGUGCAGUAUGUAUACUGUUUUGUAUGUAUUAUAUGAAUAAGGAUCGGCUAACUCCGUGCCAGCAGCCGCGGUAAUACGGAGGAUCCGAGCGUUAUCCGGAUUUAUUGGGUUUAAAGGGAGCGUAGGUGGACUGGUAAGUCAGUUGUGAAAGUUUGCGGCUCAACCGUAAAAUUGCAGUUGAUACUGUCAGUCUUGAGUACAGUAGAGGUGGGCGGAAUUCGUGGUGUAGCGGUGAAAUGCUUAGAUAUCACGAAGAACUCCGAUUGCGAAGGCAGCUCACUGGACUGCAACUGACACUGAUGCUCGAAAGUGUGGGUAUCAAACAGGAUUAGAUACCCUGGUAGUCCACACAGUAAACGAUGAAUACUCGCUGUUUGCGAUAUACAGUAAGCGGCCAAGCGAAAGCAUUAAGUAUUCCACCUGGGGAGUACGCCGGCAACGGUGAAACUCAAAGGAAUUGACGGGGGCCCGCACAAGCGGAGGAACAUGUGGUUUAAUUCGAUGAUACGCGAGGAACCUUACCCGGGCUUAAAUUGCAGUGGAAUGAUGUGGAAACAUGUCAGUGAGCAAUCACCGCUGUGAAGGUGCUGCAUGGUUGUCGUCAGCUCGUGCCGUGAGGUGUCGGCUUAAGUGCCAUAACGAGCGCAACCCUUAUCUUUAGUUACUAACAGGUUAUGCUGAGGACUCUAGAGAGACUGCCGUCGUAAGAUGUGAGGAAGGUGGGGAUGACGUCAAAUCAGCACGGCCCUUACGUCCGGGGCUACACACGUGUUACAAUGGGGGGUACAGAAGGCAGCUAGCGGGUGACCGUAUGCUAAUCCCAAAAUCCUCUCUCAGUUCGGAUCGAAGUCUGCAACCCGACUUCGUGAAGCUGGAUUCGCUAGUAAUCGCGCAUCAGCCACGGCGCGGUGAAUACGUUCCCGGGCCUUGUACACACCGCCCGUCAAGCCAUGGGAGCCGGGGGUACCUGAAGUACGUAACCGCAAGGAUCGUCCUAGGGUA